rnacentral:tRNA from 1 species
GCCCUCUUAACUUUAAUGGUAGAGUGCCUGUCUUGUAAACAGGAAGUUGUCGGUUCGAGUCCGGCAGAGGGCU